rnacentral:lncRNA from 1 species
UGGCCCAUCUAUGGAAUGGAUGACCAAAGUGUUUCAAUCCACAAGUCACCCAAGAUCAAUAGUUCAUAUUCAAUCUCACAAAAAGAGGCAAGGCAAGGAAAACCCUAAGAAACCCUAAUAUUAUUUUAAAGCCUAGAAAAAUGGAUUGUUUUACCCAAAAUCUCUACACCUUAUCUUUCUAUCUCGCUCCUAAGAAAGUCUCUCUCUAUCAUGAAAGCCCAAAGGGGGGACACACCUCUCUCUCUCAUCUUUGAUCUCUCUCUCAAAUUGUAAAAAGGGGCUAAGGGUUUAAGCUAUUGGGUUCUUCUCUCUCCCAUCUCUCAACUAGUGAUUUAUGGCUAAGGGUUUUAAUUCUAUCUCUCUCAAACUAGGUUGCUCGGAGAAUUCACUUAGGGUUUAAGUUUGUGAUCAAAGGGGUUCAUGCUCUAUUGGUGUGGCUUGGCUUAAACUUGCUUUCUCGGUUGAGAAUGAAGGUCGAUCAUUGAUCCCGCGACAUCGGAUGGUGGUGACUCGGUGUGGGGUGUAAUAAACCUGGUUGAGACAAUCUUUGAC